UACAGAGGGUGCGAGCGUUAAUCGGAAUUACUGGGCGUAAAGCGCACGUAGUCGGCUUUGCAAGUCGGGUGUGAAAUCCCCGGGCUCAACCUGGGAACUGCAUCCGAGACUGCAUUGCUAGAGUACGGGAGAGGGAUGCGGAAUUCCAGGUGUAGCGGUGAAAUGCGUAGAUAUCUGGAGGAACACCGGUGGCGAAGGCGGCAUCCUGGACCACGACUGACGCUGAGUGAGCGAAAGCAUGGGGAGCGAACAGG
rnacentral:rRNA from 1 species